GUACAUGUUUCCAGUACCACCGUUAAUCUUGUUAUUAACUUACAAUUAACAUGAGAUGACAUGUAAUUUGUGAUUACCGUUUACAAUAUUAAAAGAAUAAUUUUUAAAUAAAGAUAGAAUAAAACGUAAUGACUAAACCUGGUGAAGAUCUAAAAAUUAUAAAUACAGAAAGAUUAACACUUACCUCUCCACAACAGAAAUUCAACGACACAGAAAAUACUCUACGAGCAUUGUUAGUCAUAUGCAAACAUAAAAGGGCUGUUUCUGGUCGAUAUAUUCAGUCUAGUGACUCUAGUCUAUCGGUAAAGAAUAAACACAUCGAUCGUAGGAGAACAAAAGAAAAAGUAUUUUUAUCUCUUGAUUUUGCCUUCGAUAAGCAGUCAGUUUUCUGUGCUACAGGAAGAAAGACUUUAGUUUUUAAUUCUACAGAAGGUCUUCAGGAUUUUUUUGUUUUUUUACGGAAGGUCUUUCUAACGAGUGAAAAACUUGGAAGAUUCUGAGAGUUUCUGUGACCCCUGAUAGCCGUGGCUUCGAGAGACCUUGGAUCAGCAUUUCUUGAUGUGAAGAGGAUAAGGUUAUCUAAGGAUGGAAGAGGACUAUCUCGACCUGGUCUACUUUCUUCUAUUUCUGCUGCGUCCCCUUGGGGUAUUCCACUACACCUUCAGGUCAGACGGGUCACUGGUCUUCUCCAUUCCAUAUUUGUUAUUGUCGCUGGUUGACAAACUCCUGUUUCUCAUAGCUGGCUAUUUGGCUUACCUUUCUUUAAAGAGUACAAAUAUUUUGGCGAACGUCGGAGAAGGGGUAUACUACCUGUCCUUUCCCGCAUUACUUGGGUUUGAUUGUCUCGUCUAUCUCUUGUUACCUUUCUUCAACAAGCAUUUGGUGCGUCUGCACGCAGAUCUCGUCCGCAUCUCAGUCAGGAGUUGUCCCUUUGUUACCUUCAGGGCUAAAUGGAUCGCGCAGCCUAUCGCUCUAUAUCAUCUUCUCUGUUUGCUUUGGAUAGUCUAUGCCCAUCGCGCUAGUUUCUUUGACGUCUUGAGUGUUAUCGGGAUUUACAUUAACUCCAAGUUCCUGCUCUCCAAUGCAGCUAUCCAGCUGCUUUUCCAGGCCUCAGGGAGGUAUUCAUCGGCGAGAAUUUCGAGGAAGGUGGGUGACGUUAAGAGGGAGGUCGCCAUUCAAAACCAAAAGGCAGAAGCUACGAGGAGAAUCUUCGUGAAUAACAACGUCUGGUCGAAAUUGUCGAACCUCGAGAGAGAGUUGCAUUUGGUGGACAACGUGAUGAAAGAUGUGACGAAUUUCAUCGCCACCGCCGUCUCGCUCAAUCUUUUCGCCGUCAGCAGCAUGCUCAUCACAAUGAGCUACAAAUUCUUCUCUUCGGAUUUCCAAGUCAAUUUUGCGUUUGGCUUUCUGAUGUUCCUUCCGUUCGUGGUCUUCCCUUGUUGCACCGGUCAGGACUUUAUCAAUCGGAUGCACCAAGCGUCCUCGGAGCUGCGCUCUGUAACUUCCUACAUAAACAACCCAGAAGAGAGAUCUCAGGCACAGUAUCUCGCUUCCAGGAUUGACGAAAUGUCUCGGGUUGACGUUAACGGAUGGUACACUCUGGGAUAUCAUACGCUGAUUUCGUUGGGAAGCUUCAUUGCAACGUACGUCGUAGUAUUACUCCAGACGGGAACGACGAAAGACGACAUUCUGAAUCAAAAUGCCACUUGUGGAAAUGUGACGGAAACGCAAUGAGUCAGUGACGACGCUUUUCAGUAGGAAAAUAUCAGGUCACUUAUUCAUGUCCACAGAUAAUCAGGAAAAGGCAGAUCCUUUGCGUUAUUACACUUUCGUCUGUUAUGUACGUAUGUAUGUGUGUAUGUAUGUAUAUACACUUUCACCUAAAACGGAUACAUAAUCACACAUUCAAAGCGACCCCAUCGCUAAGAGAAGCAUCAUUUAAUAACGUAUAUGUAAAUAUGUGUCUUAUUACUGGUAAGGGUCCGUCACCAUUACAGUAAAACAUCUCAUAAACACACGUUGCCAAUUUAUCGCUUAUAUAUCACAAACAUGUUGAGAACAAGUCAGCGACCAUUAAUGAAGAACGGACCUUUUGGCAAACGCUGGAUAAUCAAAUGAAGUAUUGGUUAGAACAAAAAUAAGUCGUUGACUUGUUACGUUUUACUGCUGGAUAGACAGACACGCCCUUUGUGAUCACUGUCAUGUCUAUAACAUACAGGAAUGUUUCCACCGAUAUAAAUGUUGGCCAAAAGAAUUACAACAGUUGCGUAAAAAUGAUUUUACUUGAAGUUAAAAUUUAUAAGCCAAUAAUCUAUCUCUUAAAAAUGCAGAAGUACUGAGUUUUACUAUAUACAGACUAUUUUUAUGUACAAUGUAUAUACGAGAAUUUUUAAGCAUGUAUAAACAGAGGUUAUAUACUAUGCAGACAGCUACUGUAGUAGCCGAAAUGAUGAAUAAAAAUGUAUCUUAUUGUAGUUGUUGUUAUGGUUGCAGCUAUUGUUGUAAGAUUAAAUAUUUUUGAAACUUGUAUUGACUGGAUAAUUUUCUUUCAGUAUUUAAGAAGACUAUUAAUUUCUGUCGAACGGUUUUUUUCUCUUGCAUAAAACACCAUACAAGAAUGGUUUGCUUCAUAAUUCUAUUUCAAUAAAUAUAAGACCUUUCGUGUGUUUCUUUCAAUAAAGAUUAUAAAGUUC